rnacentral:rRNA from 1 species
GACGAACGCUGGCGGCGUGCCUAAUACAUGCAAGUAGAACGCUGAAGGAGGAGCUUGCUCUUCUGGAUGAGUUGCGAACGGGUGAGUAACGCGUAGGUAACCUGCCUGGUAGCGGGGGAUAACUAUUGGAAACGAUAGCUAAUACCGCAUAACAGUAGAUGUUGCAUGACAUUUACUUAAAAGGUGCAAUUGCAUCACUACCAGAUGGACCUGCGUUGUAUUAGCUAGUUGGUGGGGUAACGGCUCACCAAGGCGACGAUACAUAGCCGACCUGAGAGGGUGAUCGGCCACACUGGGACUGAGACACGGCCCAGACUCCUACGGGAGGCAGCAGCAGGGAAUCUUCGGCAAUGGACGGAAGUCUGACCGAGCAACGCCGCGUGAGUGAAGAAGGUUUUCGGAUCGUAAAGCUCUGUUGUAAGAGAAGAACGAGUGUGAGAGUGGAAAGUUCACACUGUGACGGUAUCUUACCAGAAAGGGACGGCUAACUACGUG